rnacentral:rRNA from 1 species
GAUGAACGCUGGCGGCGUGCCUAACACAUGCAAGUCGAGCGAUCUUCUUCGGAAGAGAGCGGCGGACGGGUGAGUAACGCGUGGGUAACCUGCCCUGUACACACGGAUAACAUACCGAAAGGUAUGCUAAUACGAGAUAAUAUACUUUUAUCGCAUGGUAGAAGUAUCAAAGCUCUGGCGGUACAGGAUGGACCCGCGUCUGAUUAGCUAGUUGGUAAGGUAACGGCUUACCAAGGCGACGAUCAGUAGCCGACCUGAGAGGGUGAUCGGCCACAUUGGAACUGAGACACGGGCCAAACUCCUACGGGAGGCAGCAGUGGGGAAUAUUGCACAAUGGGCGAAAGCCUGAUGCAGCAACGCCGCGUGAGCGAUGAAGGCCUUCGGGUCGUAAAGCUCUGUCCUCAAGGAAGAUAAUGACGGUACUUGAGGAGGAAGCCCCGGCUAACUACGUGCCAGCCGCCGUAAGAC